rnacentral:rRNA from 1 species
AUUGAACGCUGGCGGCGUGCCUAACACAUACAAGUCGAGCGGUAACAGGUGUAGCAAUACAUGCUGACGAGCGGCGAACGGGUGAGUAAUGCUUCGGAAUCUGCCCAUGUAGUGGGGAAUAACCAGCCGAAAGGUUGGCUAAUACCGCAUACGACCCUUGCCCACAAGGCAAAGGUGAAAGCAGGGGAUCGCAAGACCUUGCGCUAUUGGAUGAGCCGAAGUCGGAUUAGCUAGUUGGUAGGUAACGGCCUACCAAGGCGACGAUCCGUAGCUGGUCUGAGAGGACGACCAGCCACACUGGGACUGAGACACGGCCCAGACUCCUACGGGAGGCAGCAGUGGGGAAUUUUGGACAAUGGGGCAACCCUGAUCCAGCCAUGCCGCGUGAGUGAAGAAGGCCUCGGUUGUAAG